rnacentral:lncRNA from 1 species
AAAAUAUCAUACUAUUAAUAGAAGGCAGACAUUUAAUACCUCAGUUUCAACUUCUUUGCAAGGUUGUGCUGUUUCUUUGACAAACCGUUCUGCCUGUUUUCCAAUCAAAGCUUCUUCUUUCUCUACAUUAUGUGUUUCAGAUUCAUCAAUUCUUUCAGUGGCAGCUUCUGUCUCUUCCCUGUUUUGUUUUUUGGGUUCUUCAAUUGGUGGUUCUUUAGGUUUCUCUUCAAUUAUUGGUUCUUCAAGUUUCUCUUUACCUGCUAGUUCUUCAGGUAUCUCAUUAACUGUUGGUUCUUCAAAGUUCUCAACUGCUGAUUCCUCAGGUUUCUCCUCAACUGAUGGUUCUUCAUGUUUUUCAUCAACUGUAGCUUCUUCAGGUUUCACCUCAACUGUUGGUUCCUCAAGUUUUUGGUCAACUACUUGUUCUUCAGUUGCUAGUUCUUCAGGUUUCUUUUCAACUGCUAGCUCUUCACGUGUCUCUUUAACCACUGGUUCUUCAGGUGUUUCUUUCACCUCUGGUUCUUGAGAUUGCUCCUCAAUCACUGAUUCUUGGGGUUUCUCUUCACUUUUUGGUUUGGGUGUUACUUCAACUGCUGGUUCUUCAGGUUUUCCUUCAACUGCUAGUUCUUCAGGUUUUUCAUCAAUUGUUGGUUCUUCAAGUUUCUCUUGAACUGUUGGUUCUUUUGGUUUCUCUUGAACUUCUGGUUCUUGAGGUUUCUCUUCAAUCAUUGGUUGUUCAGGUGUUUCUUUCGCCACAGGUUCUUCUAGUGUCCCUUCAAUCACUGGUUCGUCGGAUUUCUCCUCAACCGCUGGUUCUUUGGGUUUCUCCUCAACUUUUGAUUCUUCAAGUUUCUCCCUAACAACUGGUUCUUCUGGUUUCUGUUCAACUGUCGGUUCCACUGGUUUCUCUUCAACUGCUGAAUCUUCAGGCGUUUCCUCAACUUCAAUGGUAUUGCAUGAAAUUUCUUGAGGUUUCUCGUCAACUAGUUGUUCAGGUGUCCCUUCAACUGCUGGUUUGUCAGGUUUCUCUGGUUCUUCGAGUUUCUCCUCAAUUUUUGGUUCUUCGGGUUUCUCCUCGAUGUCAAAUUCUUCCCGUUUCUCUUCAACUGUCGAUUCCUUGAGUUUCUCUUCAACUGCUGAAUCUUCGGGUUUUUCCUCAAUUUCAGCAAAAUCAUUGUUGGUAUUGCAUGAAAUUUCAUUGCCAGUCUUAUCAUUUGAGUCCACAACAUGCUUAUUCUGCUAGAAGAAAGUUUCACUUAAUUUUUCAAUAGAUAAGCAGAUGUGAAUUCAUUGCACAUACAUAACUAUUAGGAUGGACAACUUUGUGACAGUGUUUGAUCCUCACCUUUUCGAGGGGCGUUACCUUUUCAGCUGCUGCUUUCUCUAGUUUCUCUUCAACAACUACUUCUUCAUGUUUCUCUUCAGCUACUUGUUUGUCAGGUGUUUCUUCCCGUGCUGGUUUAUCAACUGUUUCUUCCCCUGCAACUGGUUCGUCAAGCUUCUCUUCAACUACUAAUUUUUCAGGUGUUUCCUCAACCAUUAGUUCUUCGAAUUUCUCCGAUACAACUGGUUCUUUAGGUUUCUCUUUCAGUGCAGGUUCCUCAUAUUUUUUUUCUAUUACUGUUUCUUCAUGUUUUUCCUCAACAGCUGGAUAGUCAGAAACAUCACUGUUGUCGUUGCACAGAAUUUCACCAUUAAUCUUGUCUGUUGAGUGACUUGAGUCCGUAUCUGGCAUAUUCUACAAGAAGAAUUUAAAGAUUCACUAAGACUUUUAAUAGAUAAGUAGAUGCAAAUUCCUUGCAUGUAUAGAGCUAAUAGGAUGGUAAACUCUGCGACAGUGCUCGAUUACCUUUUCCAAGAGAGUCACCGUUUCAACUGCUUGUUUUUCAGAUUUCUGUUCAAUAGCUAGUUCUUCCGGUGUCUCUUCAACUGCUGGUUUGUUGGGAUUCUCUUCAACUAUUAGGUCUUCAGGUGUUUCCGCUCUUGCUUGCUCUACAAGUGUUUCUUCAAUUGCCAAUUUUUGAAGUUUCUCAUUUAUUACUGGUUCUUCAGGUUUAUCCUCAACAAUUGGUUCCUCAUGUUUUUCCUCAACCAUUGGUUCUUCAGUUUUUUCCUCAACUGCUGGAUAGUCAGCAACAUCAAUGUUGGUAAUGCAUGGAGUUUCAGUGUCAGUCUUCCCUUUUGAAUCUAUAGCUGACAUAUCCUGCAAGAAAAAUUUAAAGUUUUACUUAGUCUUCCAAUAGAUAAACAUAUGUGAAUUGUUGCACAUACAUAACUAAUAGUACAGUUAAAGCUUGUGAUUGUACUUGAUCCUUACCUCUUCCAACAAAGUUACCUUUUCAGGUUUCUCUUCGAUUACUAGUUUUUCAAGGUUCUUUUCAUCUGCUAGAUCUUCAGGUGUUUCUUCAACUACAGGUUCUUCAGAUUUCUCUUCAACUGUUGGUUCUUCAAGUUUCUCCUCGAAAACUUGUUCUUCAGUUUUUUUUUCCACAGCCGGUUCUUCAGGUUUCUCUGUCACUGCUGGUUCAUCAGUUUUUUCAUUAACCGCUGGUUCUUCACGUUUCUCUUCAAUCACUUGUUUUUCAUGUUUUUCUUUAACUACCUGUACUUCAGCUUUAUCUUCAACUGUUGGAUAGUAAGCAACAUCGUUGUUUGAAUUGCCUAGAAUUUCACUGUCAAUCUUGUCCUUUGAGUCUACAAUUGGCAUAUUCUGCAAGAGAAGUUCAAAAAUUCGAUUUAAUCUUCCAAUAGAUUGGCAUAUGUGAGUUCGUUGCACAUAUAAAGCUAUUAGAAUGGAUAAACUUUGUGACAUUGUUUAUCCUCACCUUCUCUAGGAGAGUUUCCAUUUCUGGUUUCUCCUCUUCAAUUGCUGGUUUGUCAUGUUUCUCUUCAACAGCUAUCUCUUCAGAGGUCUCUUCAACCAUUGGUUCUUCAGGUUUCUCUUCAAGUGGUAGUUCAGGUGUUUCCUCCCCUGCUAGCUCUUCAGGUGUUUCUUUAGUUGUUGGUUCUUCAAGUUUCUCUUCAACAGUUGGUUCUUUAGGUUUCUCCUCAACUGGUUCUUCAGAUUUCUCCUCAAUUGUUGGUUCUUCAGGUUUCUCCAUAAUUGCUGGUAUAUCAAGUUUCUCUUCAAUAACCGGUUUUUCCACAGCUGCUGGUUUUUCAGGGUUUUUCUCAUCUUCUAGAAAGUGAGCAGCAUUGUUGCUAGUAUUGCAGGGAAUUUUAUUGUCAGUUUUUUCCUUCGAGUCUGCAACUAGCAAAUUCUGUAAGAAGAAUUUAAAGUUUCACUUAGUCUUUCAGUAGAUAAGCAGAUGUAAAUUGUUGUACAUACAUAACUAAUAGGACAGAUAAACUUUAUGACAGUGCUUGACCCUUGCCUUAUCCAAAAGAGUUACCUUUUCUGGUUUCUCCUCUUCACCUGUUGGUUCUUCAGGUUUCACCUCUUCAACUGCUGGCUCUUCAGGUUUUUCUUCACAUGCUAGUUCAUUAGGUGUUUCUUCCCGUGUUGAUUCUUUGGGUGUCUCUUCAGUUAUUGUCUUUUCAGGUUUCUCUUCAACCUUUGGUUCUUCAAGUUUCUCCUCUGCCAAUGGUUCUUCAAAUUUCUCCUCCACAGUUGGUUUUUCACGUUCUUCUUCAACUGCCAGUUCUUCAAGUUUUUUCUCAACCGCUGGUUCUUCAGGCUUCUCCAUAACAGCCAAUACUUCAGAUUUUUCUUCAAUCAUUGUUUCAUCAUUAUCUUUUUCAACUACUAGUUCUUGAGGUUUUUCCUCGACUGAUUCAUAGUCAGCAAUAUCAUUGUUGGUAUUGCAAGGAAUUGCAUUAUCUAUCUUGUCCUUUGGGUCUUCCAUUGGAAAAUUCUGCAAGAAAUUUAGAGUUCUACUUAGUAUUUAAAUAGAUAAACAUAUGUAAAUUCGUUGCACAUAUAAAGCCUAAUUUGAUGAAUAAACUUUGUGACAAUGUUUAAUCCUGACCUUCUCUAGAAGAGCUUCUGUUUCAGGUUUCUCCUCUUCAACAAUUAGUUCUUUAGGUGUCUUUUCAACCGUUGGUUCUUCAGUUUUCUCUUCAAGUGCUAAUUCUUCAGGUGUUUCCUCCCCUUCUAGCUCUUCAGGUGUUUCUUCAGCCGCUGGUUCUUGAGGUUCCUCCUCAACCACUGGUUCUUCAGGUUUCUCCUUAACCGCUGGUACAUCAAGUUUCUCUUCAAUAGUUGGUUCUUCAGGUUUUUCUUCAACUACUGACUCUUCAAGAUUUUCCUCAACUUGUGGAGGGUGAGCAACAUCAUUAUUGGUAUUGCAUGGAGUUUCACUGCCAGUUUUGUCGUUUGAGUCUACAACUAGCAUAUUCUGCG